GUGUCAGCAGCCGCGGUAAUACGGAGGGUGCGAGCGUUGUUCGGAAUUACUGGGCGUAAAGCGCGUGUAGGCGGUCGGGUAAGUCAGAUGUGAAAGCCUUCCGCUUAACGGAAGAAGUGCAUUUGAGACUGCUCGGCUGGAGUUCGGGAGAGGAGAGUGGAAUUCCCGGUGUAGAGGUGAAAUUCGUAGAUAUCGGGAGGAACACCGGUGGCGAAGGCGGCUCUCUGGCCCGAUACUGACGCUGAGACGCGAAAGUGUGGGGAGCAAACAGGAUUAGAAACCCGCGUAGUCC
rnacentral:rRNA from 1 species